ensembl:lncRNA
CACUUACCAGCAGGCUUCUCUGCAGGGUUUGGUCAUGCUGCCACAGUUGAGAGGGGCAGGGUAGUCAGUUAAGUGUUUCUCACUUAUCUCUGGGACUCUAGCACUUGACGUAGACUCUGGCCUAACCGGUGCUGAAUAAAUGUUUAGAAAGGGGGGAUGAUUAUACAUAUAAUGAUCAUAUUUGAUUUUAAUGGGAAAGGUGCUUCACCCUGCAGGGAAAGUAAUGAUGCCAGAUCAUCUUUCCUGUGAGAUAUACUUCUCUUCUGGCCAACCGCUGCUGCUGCUGCUGCUCCUCCUCCUCCUUCUCCUCCUCCUCCUCUUCUUCCUCCUCCUCCUCUCCCUCCUCCUCUUCCUCCUCCAUUCUCCUCCUCCCCCUUCAAAAAAUAUGCAAAGACUGGGACAUAGCUUCAUGGUAGAGCAUGGCCCUGUGUUUGAUACCCAGAAUUGCAACAAUAAUAAAAUUAUAAUAGGAAAGUAUGUAAACUACCCUGAGGCUCUUUGAUACCCAAAGCAGCUCUCUCAGAAACUGUAGUACCAACAGUAUAUAUAGUAUCAGGUAGAAAUUCCAAGUACCCCAGUGGUACCCCUUGACAGUUUACUGUGCAUAGACAUGUUAGUAGCCUGUAUUCAUGUAAGCCAUGUGACAUUUUUGUAACUGUAUAUUAUACAAUGUACCAUGUUCCAUGUAGAAUAUAAGAGGAGAAUGGUAUUCAACUCUUGUUCUCAAAGAGGAAUCACACAUACAGUCAAUCACAUAAACAUGGACAGAGUUUAAGGUAUAAUUUGAAGAAUUUUGGAUUAUGUAAAGACUAUGUAACUACUAUGUUUGGGACCCCAGAAGUUCUCCUCCAUUCCUCCUGGUUCUGCUGUUCUGAUUCUAUCAUGAGAGCCUGCUGACUUCCAAUCCUAGCCACCUUUUCAUUUGCCUGCUAGUUCUCCAUUCAAAAAUCUUAGUGUGGAGUAACUGGCCUGUCAGUUUGUCUUCCUAUGCUGUGUUGUGUUUCUGCAGCCUCGGCCACAUGAUAUUUUCCCUGGUGAGACUUAAAAUUGGUGAUCCAGGUUGUCUCUACCAUACCAAGUUCUAAUCAUAAGUUGAAAAUUUGCCAUAAGCUAUCAGACAGCAUGAAACAAGGUAAAGAAGAAAGACUGACUGUAGUCAGUUAGCCUAGAUGGAGCUGUUGGUCCUCUGACACUCAGACAGAAGAUCACAAGUUCAAGGCCUGCAGAGUGUGCAGAGUGAGCGCAAGGGAACAGCUUUGUGAGCUCUUACCUCAGAAUAUAAAGUGGAAAACAGGUUGCGAUGCAGCCGGGUGAUAGAGCACCUAUGAUUUACAGCUGAAGACCCAGAGAAAUGAAAACCUGGCCUUCCUACGUCCCAGGUGUGUUUUGUGUUGUCUGAACUGAAACACUGAGUUAACGAAACCGAUAGCUGUUUCUCAUGGGCCCUGAUUAGUGUAUUACCCAAACAUUCCUAGUCACUCAAACCCAGAGAAAAAUCACGGGGUGGGUAAACGCUUUGUGAGAUUAUGACAGGUUUCUCUUUAGACAGACGUCUAAACUGCCCCCUAUGGAGAAGGUCUUUUUUUGGACCUCGCUCUGUCAGAGCACACUUUCUUACCGAGGGAAGUCAGUUACUGGCUUUCCUUUUGGAAUUUUGUGACUUGAUUUCUUUGUAGAAGUUGAGAGUUUUGGGGAGUCCUUUGACUUUUGUGAUGCCGCCACUGCAAGAUUUCGGGUUUGCUCAGAGGUUGGAUGUGUAAAGAAGGGGCUAGAAUGCUUUUGUAUCUAUGAAUGAGAAGCCCAUGCAGCAGUGGGCCAGGAGGCACAAAGGCACUCCUUGUGUUCAUCCCUUUAAUUGAAUAUUUAAGCUGAGCGCAGAAUUUAAACCUCGAGGUCAAUGGUGGAGAAGACCUAAUUUUUUUCAUGUAUGCAAAAAGACCACAAACCCACACAUGUCCUCACCACCUUUUUGUCUGUGUUUUGUUUUGUUUUAGGGAGGUUGAGUUUGUUUUGUUUUUUUCCAAACAGGGUUUUCUCUGUGUUGCCCUGACUGUUCUGGAACUCACAGAAGUCAUCUUCUGUCUCCCAAACAACUUCAGGAAAUUUUUUUUUGUUGUUUUUAUUUUAUUUUAUUUUAUUUUAUCUUUUGGAACUUUAAAGAAUCACAAACAAGCCAGGUGGCAGUAGCACACUCCUAAAUUUAAUCCCAGCACCCAGUGGGCAGAGGCAGGCAUAUUUCUGUUACUUCGAGGCCAACGGGUCUACAGAGUGAGUUUGAGGCCAGCUGGGGAUACACAGAGAAAACCUGUCGCAAAAAAUAGCAACAAACCCAAAACCAAAACAACAACAACAAAAGAAUCAUAAACAAAAUAAAAGAAAUGUUUACUUCUUAAAUUGAGUUUUUAGCAGAUACAUAAUAUUUGAUGAAACACCAAAUUGCAGAUACAUAAUAUUUGAUGAAACACCAAAUUUAUCUAGGCUAAUUUCUUCCUAAGCUUCUUUAACCAAAAUGCAACUCUUCCUGUAAACGGAGUGAGAUAAGGCUGGGGUACCGUGGGCUCUCGAUGGCGUUCGUCGCUGCUCUUAGUGAACCAGCUGUGGCAAUACAUCCUGUAGCUCCAACCCGUGGAAGACGGAGACCUCAGCCAAUCAGUCAUCAGUCCAAGAACUUUAAAACGCUGUUGGCUAGGGCUAAUAGACUGCAACAAAACGGUGAACCCUUUGCUGUUGUUUUGACUUUAAGUUGAGUAUCGACCUGCCUCUCUCUCUCUCUCCUUUCUAAGUACUAGGACUACAGGCAUAUGCCACACACCUCCCCGGAUGUAAAAUACUUAGAUUGUGGAGAGGAGAGGAGCCUCACGCUGGGAUUGAACCCAGGGUUGCAUACAACUUAGGGUUAGUGUCAGUACUCCACCACUAAGUUGCCUGCAUUUGAAAAUGAUUGUAUAGGCUUGAUGAUGAAUGAAUUUUAAGGCUCUGAUAAAAAUAUUUUUUAAGUUCUCAGAUGUUGGUCCUAAGAAGUUAAGCUUUGUAUCAAGAUGAAAUAUUUUUUUAAAUGUCAAGAUACCCUUUAUUAUAUAG